rnacentral:rRNA from 1 species
GAGCGUUCUGUAAGCCUGUGAAGGUGUGUCGUGAGGCAUGCUGGAGGUAUCAGAAGUGCGAAUGCUGACAUAAGUAACGAUAAAGCGGGUGAAAAGCCCGCUCGCCGGAAGACCAAGGGUUCCUGUCCAACGUUAAUCGGGGCAGGGUGAGUCGACCCCUAAGGCGAGGCCGAAAGGCGUAGUCGAUGGGAAACGGGUUAAUAUUCCCGUACUUGGUGUUACUGCGAAGGGGGGACGGAGAAGGCUAUGUUGGCCGGGCGACGGUUGUCCCGGUUUAAGCGUGUAGGUGUGUGUUCCAGGUAAAUCCGGUUCACUUUAACACUGAGGCGUGACGACGAGGCA